rnacentral:misc_RNA from 1 species
GAUGAAGAACGUAGCGAAAUGCGAUAAGUAAUGUGAAUUGCAGAAUUCAGUGAAUCAUCGAAUCUUUGAACGCAUCUUGCGCUCCUUGGUAUUCCGAGGAGCAUGCCUGUUUGAGUGUCAUUAAAUUCUCAACUCUCCUAUACUUUGUUGUAAAGGAGGGCUUGGAUUGUGGAGGCUUGCUGGCCGCUUGAUGUGGUCAGCUCCUCUGAAAUGCAUUAGCAGAACUGUUUGCGAUCUGCCACAAGUGUGAUAAAUUAUCUACACUGGCGAGGGCAUUGCUCUCUGUGUUCAGCUUCUAAUCGUCUUCAGUGACAAUUUCUUGAAUGCUUGACCUCAAAUCAGGUAGGACUACCCGCUGAACUUAAGCAUAUCAAUAAGCGGAGGA